AGACGCUGCUCUCCGUCCCGCGCCUGUACGGCGACCGUCGGGUAAAGUUUGAGAGGCAGGGAUGAUAGUGGUUCAUCUUCCGUGAGGUUUGCAAAUUAUUUAAAUUUACCACAGCGAGGAAAACAUCAUCUUCUCCAGACCAAAGGGGACUUCUUUCUGGGAUUACUCAUUUACUGGAUUUAUUCGUAAAAAAAUGAAGACUUUAAUUGUUGAGGACAGCAAACAAGCCAUUUCCACUCCAGACUCCUGUUAUCAACCAGAUAAUGUGGAUGAUCAGAAUACAUGGCAGAAAGCAGCAGACUCACGGAGAGGCUCUGUUGGAGGGAGGCUCAUUCUGCUGAGAGGUCUCUGUGAUACAGAGCUUCAUCUGCUACUCGCAGGUGUGGAACAAAGGGUAUCAGCUGUUAUGAAGUCGCAUGGGUUGACGUAGGAUGAAUCAGACAAGCCAUGGUCUGGAUAGUACUGGGAUUUCAAAGAUAAUAGUAAGACUUGGUGAUAUUUUUCCAAUUGUGCAAUGACGUGUGCAGUCUGUUUGUUGAAAGGUUUAAUGUUAAGAGCGUCACAGUCAACAAAUCAAGUCUGCCUGAUAUUGCACUGGAUUUACAAGUGAUUUUUUUUCCUAUAUUGUAGUUUGAAUUGUAGUUUGAGUUUUUUUUUUAAAUUACAUUUUGUUUUUAAUCCAUUUUAAAUGUAAUUUAAUUUCAAAUAUUUUUAUUCUAUUUUAAAAAAAGUUUUAUUAAAUUUAAUAGAAGUAAUUUAAUAGACGAUUUUUUGUUUUUUUAAAUAACUGUUGUUUUCAAGAGAGUUUACAAGGCAGAGAGUGGGAGAGUGAAGUUAUCAAGGUCAGUGGUCUUUCCAUGUUUCUGCCAAAUAGCAUUCUGAGUGACGGCUGACCUCAAACUGACUGCUAAAUAUUGCAUUUAACGUGUAGAAACAACUGAGGCGAGAUGCAGGUAUAAUCAAGAAUGAUUCACUGUGGCAUUAUUCAGUUUACUUUGGAUUGCCGUAUGUAAACAAAAUCAAAUCACCUCUUGGCUUUUGACAGCAAUAUAAAGAAGGCCAUUAUUAGAGAGAGCACUUCUAAUUAUUAUCGCUCCUGUAAGAGUCAGAUGUUAAGAUGGCAGCAUUAUCAACAAUCAACAAAAGGAGACACAGGAAACCCCCACCUUAUUGAAUUGAUGGGAAGCAUGAAUGAGUCAUUGAGGAUUUAAAGAAUGGAAAGUUAAUUGGAAAGUUAAUUGAUUUCACUUUUCUUUCCUGAAAGUCGUUCAUUACCAAGAUUAAAAAGAUUUUUGCUCCUGUGUCUCAGAUUUUUGAGAUGUUUUUGCAAAUGUGCAAGUUUCUCAAUAGAUCUCAACAAUCUCAACAUAGCUGAUUUUAUGAGAUUUCAACAUGAACUCAACUUGUACUUGUACUGUGUUAACAGUUGACUUAUUUGUGUCUAUUUUUAUUUAUUCGUAGGAUUUUUAAAAGGACUGAUAAUAAAAUUUUCUAAAUAUGUUACUUACUGUAAAUC
ensembl:lncRNA